GACGAACGCUGGCGGCGUGCCUAAUACAUGCAAGUAGAACGCUGAAGGAGGAGCUUGCUUCUCCGGAUGAGUUGCGAACGGGUGAGUAACGCGUAGGUAACCUGCCUGGUAGCGGGGGAUAACUAUUGGAAACGAUAGCUAAUACCGCAUAACAGUAGAUAUUGCAUGAUAUCUGCUUGAAAGGUGCAAUUGCAUCACUACCAGAUGGACCUGCGUUGUAUUAGCUAGUUGGUGAGGUAACGGCUCACCAAGGCGACGAUACAUAGCCGACCUGAGAGGGUGAUCGGCCACACUGGGACGGAGACACGGCCCAGACUCCUACGGGAGGCAGCAGUAGGGAAUCUUCGGCAAUGGACGGAAGUCUGACCGAGCAACGCCGCGUGAGUGAAGAAGGUUUUCGGAUCGUAAAGCUCUGUUGUAAGAGAAGAACGAGUGUGAGAGUGGAAAGUUCACACUGUGACGGUAUCUUACCAGAAAGGGACGGCUAACUACGUG
rnacentral:rRNA from 1 species